rnacentral:rRNA from 1 species
CAUUAACGAAUUGUAAUGGGGGCUGAUGCUGGCCAUCAUAUUUUUGAUGGUAGGUGCUCGCCUCCAACAAUCUCUCGUCCAAACACCUGUGCACCUUCUUUUGAGGGUUCCGAGCUGGCUACCAUUUUCAGGUGGUCUCUUGGAUUCCCUUCCUAUCUUUACAUACACACUCAACAAUGUUGAACGUGCCAGUGCCGAUUAGGCCAUAAUAUUAAUACAACUUUUAACAACGGAUCUCUUGGCUCUCGCAUCGAUGAAGAACGCAGCGAAAUGCGAUAAGUAAUGUGAAUUGCAGAAUUCAGUGAAUCAUCGAAUCUUUGAACGCACCUUGCGCUCCCUGGUAUUCCGGGGAGCACGCCUGUUCGAGUGUUGUGAACUUCUCAAGCUAGCACGCUUUUUUUGCUUUCUGGCUUGGUAUUGGGCUCUGCCGUGUCCUUGACUUGGAACGGCUGGCCUUAAAGGCAUUAGCUGGCCUUCAUGCGAUAUUGGUUCUACUCAGCGUGAUAAUUAUGUGAUCGCUGAGGACAUCUUUUCGGGGAUGGCCAAUUCGUGUUUGGGUUGCUUCCAAUCUGGCUUACAGAUUUCUGAAUCUGUUCCACUUUCAAUUUUGACCUCGAAUCAGGUGGGACUACCCGCUGAACUUAAGCAUAUCAAUAAGCGGAGGAAAAGAAACUAACAAGGAUUCCCCUAGUAACGGCGAGUGAAGCGGGAAAAGCUCAAAUUUAAAAUCUGGCAGUCUUAGAUUGUCCGAAUUGUAAUCUAGAGAAGCGUCUUCCGCGCUGGACUGUGUACAAGUUUCCUGGAUACGGAACAUCGUA